rnacentral:sRNA from 1 species
UAUAGAAGAUACAAAGCCAAAAACUCAUACGGACUUUGGCUACACCAUCAAAGCUUUAAGAAGCAACAAGAAGUUUGGUUAGUGUUUUGGAGUCAAAAAAGACUAUAUGUCAUGUGUUGUAUUGAGUAUAAAAACUAGAACCGCAACUUGUUCCCAAAAGCAAAAGUAGUGUUUCCUUGUUAGAAGAUACAAAGCCAAAGACUCAUACGGACUUCGGCUGCACCAUGAAAAUUUUGAGAAGCAAUAAGAAGCUUGGUUAGUGUUUUGGAGUCAAAUAUGACUAGAUGUCAUGUGUAUGAUUGAGUAUAAGAACUAGAAUUGCAACCGAUUCCCAAUAGCUAAAGUUAUGUUUCCUUGUUAGAAGAUACAAAGCCAAAGACUCAUACGGACUUCGUGUACACCAUCAAAAUUUUGAGAAGCAAUAAGAAGCUUGGUUAGUAUUUUAGGGUCAA